GGGUAUUGAGGAGGGCACAUUCUGCAUGGAGCACUGGGUGUUAUGCACAAACAAUGAAUCAUGGAACACUACAUCUAAAACUAAUGAUGUAAUGUAUGGGGAUUAACAAGAAUAAAAAAAAAACUAAGAGAACCUCUUCUUUUAAAAUGACUGCUGGGUGAAAAUUGACUAAAUGAUUAAAAGAGUUCUUCUUUUUCUUUUUAAAAAACAGAGUCUCACAUUCUAAGCAACCAGGUUUAGAUGCCAGAAACUGUCUGUAGGGGGAGAGCCUGGAAGACCUUGUUGGACUUCCGUCUCCGGUUUAGAGACUGAAAGCCAAGGUUUGUUUUGAGGACUCUUUGGAAAGUAUGUGGAAGUAUCUAAAGGUCUGUGACAAUUUCAAGGGUAAACUAGAGUAGUGGACUCUCAUGAGUCUGUACUUGCUCUUGAUGUUGGCUAAAGUUGAAAAACUGAGGCUGCCAUAUCUCUGUGUGUCUGUAAGAGAGAAAAUAAGUGCAUUUCCCCUUUGUACAAAGAAGCUAGUUUUGUAUAAGCUCUUUUGCAUCUGCAUCUAGGAAUUUUGGGGGGAACCUUUUGGAAAUUAAUCAGUUGAAGGGAUUUGUCAUUUGUGCACAAAUGUCUAAUGUUUAAAUCAAAUAAAAGGCACAUCUAAUUCAAAUAAAAAGUGUAUGGGCUGAAGGCACUAGAUACUUCUGAAAGUGGUGGGUAGAGGAUUUAGAAACAGGAUGAUUGGUUGAAAGUGUCUAAAAGAGACACCUGGGCCCCCAGAUCCCUCUCUCCUGCAGUCGGUAAAGCCCUUCCCACACCUGCCAGAAAAUUGGAGGAUUCUGUGUGGAGAGCCUGAAUUCUAGGGAUGCUCAGGCACAGAUGAAAGUUGGGGUGACAAGCCUUGAUGAAAUUCUUUGAUAAAAGCAGUAGGGGAUGUACAUAAGAAUUAGAUUAGAUUAUUGAAACUGAUUUGCAUGGCUUAGAAAAGAGAAAACUAAUUUGUUUGUCCUUUACUGGUUUGAAUAAUGAGCCUAAAUAUGUGUUGGAGAGAAAUAUUAAGUGGAAUGUGAAUGAUCCUUUCUGGUUUGUCUACAGGCUUUUCUCAACAGACAAAUUCCUGGGGUUAUAAAUUGAAAUUGUAUUCUCUCUUUGCUUUAAAAAAAAGUCAUUUUAUAAAAAUACAAAGUUAUAGAAUACAGUGUAUUUUCUCUGUUCUCUCUGAUUGGAAUGAUUCUUAUUUAGAUGUUAGACUUCCUGAUUGAUCCACUGAUUUUCUUAUUUUUUUUCUUUCUUGUUUUCUUGUUCUAGUCUCUGGGAGACUUUCUCAACUUUAUUUUCCAGUGCUUCUUGUGAAUUCUUCAUCUCUGCCAUUGUAUUUUUAAUUCCCAGGGGCGUUCUUGUGUUCUCUGACAGUGCUUUGUUUUUUUUGGCUUCCUAUUUUUAAUUCAUGGAUGCAAUAUCUUCUCUUAUCUUCUGAGGAGAAUUAAUUAUUAUAUUUUGAAGCUUUCUUAGCUACCUGCUCUGUUCCUCUGAGUUUUUCUUUCUUUCUUUAAAAAAAGUAUUCCUAUAUGUUCAUUUUGAUUCCUGUCUUUAGUGACAAAGGAUGAUUUUUUAAGAUAGAAGCAGUAAAAAACUGACCGUUAAUUGUAUUUGGGUGGAGGAGGCUAAACCAGUGAGCCUUACUCUAGGAAGUUCUGUCUGGAUUGUUCUGUUGGGUGACCACCAACUCUCAGCCUCUUUAGAUCUUUUCUCUAGGAUUGAUCAGUUUCUCCAGAGAGAAAUCUACCAGUUUUCUGUGGAAAGAGCCCAAGCCUGCUUGCCAGGCCCUGCCAGCUGAGUGAGGACUAGGGUUUGAGAUUUUUUUAAUUUCUUGUUUUUAGUAAGACAUCUCACACCCACCUUCAUAUGUACCCAAGCCCAGAAUUGGGUACUGAAUCAGUUUCCCAGACAAUAAUUCUCUAGUCUUCUGGCAGGGUGUGGGAGGGGCUUUCAUCUGGCUGAAGUUGGUGGGAAAGGGGUUCUGGGGUCCUACCUCCCUCUUUUACACAUUCUCACUCUGAUUUUUAGAACCAUUGCUCUGCUGCCUUUGGAGGGAUCUGAUGCCUUCAUCCCUGAGGUGUUAUACCAGACUUUAGCAAUCUGGUCUGCUUGCCAAAUCAUAAUCCUUUCUCCCUCAAUCCCUGUCUCUUUUUCAUAAAUGAAGCUUUACUGGAACAUGGCCAUGCCACUAGCUGUGUAUUGCCCUAUUGCUGCUUUUGCUUUACGAAGAAGACUUGACUGAUUGUGACAGAGACCCCAUGACCUGCAAGGCUUAAAUCUGGGCCUUUACCUAAACCACUUUGCAGACUCCUAAACUGCACUACAAUGUGAAUCAAUCCAUUUCUUGGACUUCUCUUGUUGACUUGGGUUUCAGUGCUUUCUGAUUUACUAAAUUGAUUAUCAUUUGUUCAUCUGUUUUCUGGUUUUCAAAAUUUUAUUACUGCUUUAUGUUCUGCCAUUCUCUUUGUCUUUGUUGGUUUAUACCUUUCCUCUCUCCCUUAGAGAAAUUUUAGCAGAGUUUUAGGAGUGACAUAGAGGUAAACCUUUGAAUUCACUCUGCCAUAUCCAGUUAGAAGUAUGAGGUAGAAGUUAGCAACCUCAUUAUAAAAGAAAAGCAAGUUUGCAAGAAGUUGAUUGCUCAAGGUCACAGGACAGAACUAGGAUGCAAGUGCACGUCUCUUAGACCCCCCAGAAGGUAAUUACGUAAGCAGGGGUAGCUAUUUUGUUUUGUUCUCUGCUAUAGCUUUAGGACCUUGCCUGGCAUUUAGGAUGUAUUAGAUAAACGUUUAUUUUACUUGUUGUUAAGUCCACAUUUGUAACCAUAAUGUUCCUCUAUUGUCUCCAAGAAAUGCUGAUCUUCUUAAGGAUACGUGUUUCAGUUUUGGGACUGUUCACAUUAUGGAUUUGGAUUCAUGGAAAUAGAGAGAGAGCACAAAUAGGCAGAGCAGCAGGCAGAGGGAGAGGGAGAAGCAGGCUCCCCACUGAGCAGGGAGCCGGACGUGGCGCUCGAUCCCAGGACCCCAGGAUCAUGACCUGAGCCGAAGGUAGCCGCUUAACUGACUGAGCCACCCAGGCGCCCCACAGCAUGUGUUUUUUAGGUGCAACAAGCAUGAAGAUCUCUUGUUAUUUUCUAGAAGCUUUGGCAACCAUAAUUAGUCAUACCAAAAAUGUUGUUCAGAGUUCCAAGUAAUAUUAUCAAAAGGACUCACUCUUAUAUGGGCACACAUAGAAGCUGACAAGUGGACAACUGGAGGCCUACCUGUGACUGCCUGUAGGUAGAAGGAUUCAUAAUACAAAUUGGCCCUUCACCACAUUUUUUUUUUUUUUAAGAAAAAUCCAUUUGUCUUGACUAUCUGCUGGUGUUCCAUUGCAUUGAGGCCCUUUUUCAUAGAUAUUGAAGAUGAUUUGUCUGAAAUUAAAGUAUUUGUCUGAAAUUAAAAUAGGUAGUCUGACUCAAGGAGGCACAGUUUGAGAGAGGUGUCUCCAUAGAGCACCACCAUGAGCAGGGCCAACAUUUCUGUGGAGGCUUAGGUCUGUGUCCAGACAGAUAUCAGGGACGUGGCAUUUUUCCAGGUUGGAACCUAAGAAUUCAGAAAAUUCUAUGGAUUUUUGAAUUAGAGAUAUGAAUGGGGGAACAAAUGAGGGUUGCCUUAUUGGAUAAGGACUAGGAAACUCGUCAAUAUUAGUUUUCUUCUGAAUCAAUUCUUCUGAGUCAGGCUAUAGAUGGAACCCAUCUUUCUACAUUAUAAAUUAUACUUUAUUGUAAAAUCUAUGACAGAAGGUAAAGACCCUUAAACACCAUAUAAUCUGUUCCUCUGACAGUAAAGGCCAGUUCUUUAAUGUUGUCUUUGGUAUUUUGUACCAACCUGUGAAAAUACGAAACCCAAUCCACUGGCAUGUAGAGUAAUUCUCAAGAGGGAUUAUUUUCUGAAUCCACAGACUUCUUAAUCAACCAAAUUGCUACUAUUAGCUUAAGUUUCUUGGUUCUACCCAUUACUGUUUGACCAUUUUGCUAGGUUAUCACCUUCCUUUCUUACUUUUGGACAUUUGUAGUCAAAUACAUCUUUCAUCAAUCUUGUUAUUUGCUUUACCAAGACCUCACUCUUAAAUGACAUUUAUUACUCUUUAAUUAGCCUUGAUAGCUUUUUAAAAAUUUAUAAUAGCUGAAUACAUUUUGCAUUUUGUAAAUACCUUUCUAAAAGUAUGCUUUGUAUUUCUGAUGAUCAAUAGUUGCUCUUGUAAUUACCUAAGAGAAAGUUUUGGAAAUUUAGUUUAGAUACACUUCUAUAGCAAACAAUAAUUAUGGAAACAGUAACAAUCUAGCAAAUUAUCUAUGUGCAUAUGUGCUCUCUGAGGAACAUAUAGGCUACAAUAGUUUAACGGAUAUUUAAAGACUAAAGUAGAAGAUUUAUUACUGAUCAUUUGAAGAUGAUAUCUUUCUCUUGCACAUUGAUUUUCAACUUGCAAAUCACUUGUAUAUAUAAUCAUUUUGCCCUAACCAGAAUCCCAGAAGGGAGGCAGGGAAGAAACCAUUAUUUGUAGAUUUGGACAAGAGCUCAAAGCGGAAGGGUACAGCUGGUUCUUAAUUCUUUCAACAAUUAGUCUCUGCUAGUUAUUACCCCUUGAUGUUUCCUGAAGUUUUCGCAAGCAUUUCUUUACUUCAUUUUUGUUUAGUUUUACAAAAGCUAUAGUUCUUCUUUGCUUUCAUUUGAAUGAUCCUCUGUUUGGAAAAAAGACAGUUUCUUCAAUAAAUGGUGCUGGGAAAAUUGGACAGCCACAUGCAGAAGAAUGAAAUUGGACCAUUCUCUUAUACCAUACACAAAGAUAAACUCAGAAUGGAUGAAAGACCUAAAUGUGAGACAGGAAUCCAUCAAAAUCCUAGAGGAGAACAUAGGCAGUAACUCUUUGACAUCAGCCACAGCAACUUCUUUCAAGACACAUUUCUAAAGGCAAAGGAAACAAAAACAAAAAUAAACUUUUGGGACUUCAUCAAGAUAAAAAGCUUCUGCACAGCAAACGGAACAGUCAACAAAACUAAGAGGUAACCCAUGGAAUGGGAGAAGAUAUUUGCAAAUGACAUAGAUAAAGGGCUGGCAUCUGAAUGAUCUUCUAGCUUCAAACAGAUUGAAAAAUUCUGACAAACAGUAUUCAGACCAAAUUGAGAUUAUCUCCUCUUUGGAGUAAAAUAUAUCUCCUCUAGGACCACAUAAACCAACCUAAUUCCCACUGAAAUUCUGACCAAAGAAUUUUAUUUGUCUUCUGAUGGAAUGCCAUUUUAUUUCUUGUAUCUACUAAAAGUUGUAUGUAAAAAAGUUUAAAAAAAAUCCCAUUUUUGUUCAUUAGCCUACAGCAAGUUAACAACUUUAGGAAGAAAUAAGGCAGGGAGGCAUAUUAAAGACAGCACUGACCUGAGUAGGGGGAGACCAAUGUUCUAGUCCUAUACCUAUCACCGAUUCCUUAUGCCCAUCUGAGCCUUUGCUUAUUAAUCUGUAAUAUGAGAUAGUUGGACUGUCUGGUCUCUGCAGUUCCUCUGCUAACUCUAAGAUUUCAAAGUCCUGAACUUAAAAUUGUUGAUUUCUGAUUAUGCCAGAUCUCCCAGCCUAUUUUCUAGGAUAAUGAGAUCUAUAUUCCAAUUAUAUGAUGGGAGCAGUAUUAAAGUUGUCUGAGGCAGGGACUGCUAUGUGUGUGCCAGAACUCAUCUCCUAUAGCUUUUGGUACAUAGUAAAUGACUGAGUUCUGGCAUCUGGAAUGUGGGUAGAUUAUGGGUACUUUUAAGUUUGAUUGCAAAGCCUUCCAGCACAACCAUCUCUUUCUCUAUUCCUCAUCUCUGGCCAGAAGCUCGGGACUUUCUGGUCACAGGUGAUAGUGGAGAUACAAGAUAGAAGGAGUCUGAGCACUUGAAUCUCUGCAUGGAAGGUUGCCUGUUCAACACAUGAUUAUACUACAUGUGAGAGAAAUAAACUUCUUUGAGUCCACUGAGAUUAUCUUUCACUGCAGCUAAUACUAAAGUAGGAUGCUGAUAAACACAAAAAAUUAAAAUGUGCAUCAUUGGUUUGAGGGUCAGGUGGUGGAAGGCAAAGAAGAGAUAUGGUUGCCUAGAAGACUGAAGAGCUCUGUUGUACCAUGGCAAAAUGUUUGAUAAAAAUAUCACCUGUGAUGAGUUGGAAGACAUAUAUUUGCCUAGGACCCUAUAGCUCUAUCACAAAUGAGGGGGGUCUAUGAUUAUAUUGACUCUUAUUGACUAUUUUGAGAAAAACAUUAUAAUAAGAAAUAGACCAAGUUUUGGCUAGUUCUCAAACAGCGAAUCAAGGGAAUGGAGAAAUUUUAGGUAUUAGGGCCUUACAGGUUGGAAACAGCAACUACUUCUCAGAAGAUUUAAGAUUAAAAGGGCUUUAAUGAAAAAGACCAGCAAGACUUCUCAGAUAAAAACAGUAACUUAUUUAGUGGUGUUACCUUCCCACCAAACUCUAUUUUUUCAGACAGAUGUAAUCAUCUUAAAUUGUGUGUGUGUGUGUGUGUGUGUGUGAGAGAGAGAGAGAGAGAGAGAGAACAACGAGAGGGGGAGGACAGAGAGGGAAAGAGAAAGAAGGGCAUGGGGUGAAGAAGGUAAGAAAUAAGACAGGUUGGAGAAUUAUGUCUGAGAAAGAAUUUUGGAUGUGAUUAUUUGGCAUUUAAAGCUGACUGGAAGUGGCUUUAAUCCUACAAGAUUUUUUAAGGGAAUCUACUGCCAAAGAAAGCAUGUUCUAAGUUUGGGACUGGUUAGAGACUUUAAAACAACCUUGGGCAGGAAGUGGGCUGCAAAAGAUGCACAGUCUACAGAUAUCCCUUUUAGUCAUGGCCUUGGAGAUGAAUGGACAAAGAAGAAUUUCCCAAGGUAGUGUCUGUAGCCAUGGAAACUAAUGAACAAAGAAGUACCUUCUAGAGAGCAGAAUCAGUCUGCAAGUAAGAAACUUCCCAAAUCCCAGGGUUGAGGGCCUUCGGUAUGGCUGCCCAGCAGGAUUUUUUUUCCCAUUCACCAAGAACUGCUAUGUGCCUUACAUUCUUAUUUUGAAUGGGGGAUUUUAUUAUCAAUAUCAUGGCCCUAGUUCACCAUUGUAUAUUGAAUGUUUGUACAAGAGCGGACAGACAACUUGAUAUUUAGUUCUUAAGUCACUAUUUUUUUAAUGUCCUAGCUGCUGGGCCACAAGGAGCCACCUGAUAGAGCUGACAGAAAGACUGUGCUUCAGAGGGAGAACCUGCCUUUUGAACUGGUUGCAGUGACUGAAUGUGGCUUUGGAGGGACCUUUUGCCGGGGUUGAGGUGGGAGAGAUUGGGAGUCUGGUAAAUGUGUUCUAUAGAUAAGAGGCACCGUAAAGUUGAUAUUUGGCAAUAAGAAUGCCAUGGCAGAAUUGCUGUAUGUUAACAAUGUCAUUUCUUCUAUCUCUUGACAAACAGUGAGACUACUGUUCUCAGUCUUACUUUGUGUGGUCGUAUGAUUGAGGUUUGGCCAGUGCAAUGGAAACUGAGGUUACGUCUGCCUAUUUCAGGCCUGGUUCACCAGAACUCUAGCACAAUCAUCUAUGCUCUCUCUUUCCUUGUCAGUUGGCUAAACAUAAAACACUCUGAAGUUCUAGGGCAGAGGUUGGCAAACUACAGCCUGAGGGUCAAAUCCAAUCCACCAUCUAUUUUUGUAAAUCAAGUUUUACUGGAACACAGUCAUGCUUGUUUGUUUAGUUAUUGUCUAUGGCUGUUUUUACACUGCAACAGAUUUGAGUCAUUGCAAUAAAGAUUGUUUAGACCCACAAAGGCUAAAAUAAUUACUAGCUCUUCUUUACAGAAAAAGUUUGAUGACUCUUAUCUUCGGGAAUGGUGGAUGAAAAGUUUCUGGGUUACUAUAUUACUUCAUGGGAGACCACUCAUAGCAUACACUAUUAGGUUUUACUAGAAUGAAUUCUUUUGUGUUAGGAAUUGAGAUUUUUGGGAUUACCUGUGCAGCAUCCAGAAUUACAUUAGCUAAUAUGCUGUGACUGAGAUUUAAAUGUGGAAGGACUUGUUCUGCCUUAUGACCAAGCUCUCAGUAUAAGAUUUAUGUCUAUAAACAGUAAAAAUGGACCAAACUUUUCAAAAGGAUGCUUUGAAAGGAAGUUCGGCUCAGGGGCGCCUGGGUGGCUCAGUCAUUAAGCGUCUGCCUUCAGCUCAGGUCAUGAUCCCAGGGUCCUGGGAUCGAGCCCCACAUCGGGCUCUCUGCUAGGUGGGAAGCCUGCUUCUCCCUCUCCCGCUCCCCCUGCUUGUGUUCCCUCUCUCGCUGUGUCUCUCUCUGUCAAAUAAAUAAAAUCUUAAAAAAAAAAAAAAGGAAGUUCAGCUCAAAUAAGGAAGAAAGAUUAGUGCAUUCUUCUGAUAAAAUUCUGCUUACACCUAUAUUUUAAAGGAUGAACUUUUUAAGGGUGCAGAAUGGCUUACAUUAAGUUCAUUUGUUGUCACAAGAAAUUAAUGCAUGAAAGGCAUACUCCAGUUGUGUUUUAAAUGUUUGUUCCUACAGAGUGCUUAUUUCCAGACUCUCAGGCUAAGGGUGUUUUGCCAUUAAAUGGCCCCAACAGAGCAUCUGUGUAUCUGAUAGCUUUUAAUUGAGCUACCCUCGCUUUCUUCUGAAAGAAGACACUUACAGAAUAUGUUAAAAAAUAUAACCAUGGAGGCACCUGGCUGGCUCAGUUGAUUGAGCAUCAGACUCUUGGUUUCAGCUUAGGCCAUGAUCUCGGGGUUGUGAGAUCGAGCCCUGCACCUGGCAUGGAGUCUCCUUGAGAUUCUCUCCUCCUCUGCCCCUCCCCCUGCUCACACUCGUGCUCUCUCUUUCUCUAAAAUAAAUAGAUAAAUCUUAAAAAUAUAUAUAACCAUCAUCGCUAACAAAUCAACUCUACAUUAAUUGUUAGCUUUAGAAAAAAUCCCAAUAAAGUCAAAUACCUAAAAUAUAUCUUUAAAAAGUUUUAUAUCAGCCCCCCCACUCACCAUGGCACUUGCUGGCUCCAGUGGUCCCAAGGUCCCAAUCAGCCUUUGCAAACCUAAGCUCCAGGCAGGCACUCAUGAACCCAGUUUCCCAGAUGCAAAAAUUCUCAAAAAAAUACCAGCGAGCCAAAUUCAACAACACAUUAAAAAAAUCAUAAACCAUGGUCAAGUGGGUUUCAUCCCUGGUAUGCAUGGAUGCUUCAACAUACACAAAUCAAUAAAUGUGAUAUACCACAUUAAUAGAAUAAAAGAUAAGGAACAUAUAAUCAUCUCAAUAGAUGCAGAAAAAUUCAACAUCCUUUCAUAAUUAAAAUUCAACAUUCUUUCAUAAUUAAAACUCUCAACAAAUUAGGUAUAGAAGGAACAUACCUCAGUGUAAAGGCCAUAUAAGACAAACCCACAGUUAACGUCAUCCUCAAUGAUGAAAGGUUGAAAAGUUUUCCACUAAGAUCAGCAACAAGACAGGGUGCUUACUCUUACCACUCCUAUUCAACAUGGUAUUGGAAGUAUAGCCAGAACAAUUAGGCAAUAAAAAAACAAAACAAAACAAAACAAAAACACAAAAGUUAUCUGGAUCAGAAAGAAAUAAAUAAAAUUGUCUCCGAGGAUGAUAUGAUCUUACAUAUAGAAAAUCCUAAAGACUCUACCAAAAAACUGUUAGAACUAAUCAAUGAAUUCAGUCAAGUUGCAGGAUACAACAAAAUCAAUAUAUAAUAAUCAAUUGUGUUUCUAUACACUAACAAUGAACUAUCUGAAAAAGAAAUAAAGAAAACAAUCACAUUUGCAUUAGAAUCAAAAGUAAUAAAAUACAAAUAAAUUUAACCAAGGAGCUGAACAGCCUGUACACUGAAAAUUAUAAGACAUUGAUGAAAAGCCUUGACAAAGAAACAAAGAAAUACAAUGAUAUCUUGUGUUCAUGGAUUGGAAGAAUUACUAUUGUUAAAAUGUCUACACUACCCAAAGUGAUCUGCAAACACAAUGCCAUCCCUAUCAAAAUUCCAAUUUUGGAAUCCCUAUCCAAUUCGGCAUUUUUCACAGAGAUAGAAAAAAAAUUCCUAAAAUUUGUAUGGCACAACAAAAGACCCCUAAUAGUCAAUGCAAUCCUGAGAAAGAAGAAUGAAGCUGGAGGCACCACACUUCCUCACUUCAAACUUAAUUAUAAAAUCAUAGUAGUCAAAACAGUAUUGUACUGGCAUAAAAACAGACAUAGACCAAAGGAACAGAAUAGAGAGCCCAGAAAUAAAUCCACACAUGGUCAACUAAUAUUUGACAAGGGAGCCAAGAACACUCAAUGAAGAAAGGAUAGUCUCUUCAAAAACUGGUGCUGGGAAAAGUAGAUAUUCACAUUUAAAGAACAAAAUUAGACCAUUAUCUUAUACUACUCACAAAAAUCAACUUGAAAUGGAUUGAAGAUUUAAAUGUAAGAACUGCAAAUGUACUUUACUAGAAGAAAACAUUAGGGAAAAAGCUUUUUGACAUUGGUCAAGGCAAUGGUUUUUGGAUAUGACACCAAAAACAUAAGCAACAAAAGCAAAUGAGACUACAUCAAACUAAAGAGCUUCUGUAUAGCAAAAGAAACAAUCAGCAAAAUGAAAAAGCAACCUACAGAAUGGGAGAAAAUAUUUGUAAAUCUUAUAUCUGAUAAGGGGUAAUAUUCAAAAUAUAUAAAGAUCUCCUACAAUGCAAUAGAAAAAAAAAAAAGAUUAAAAAAUGGGCAGAGUCAGGCAUCUGGGUGGCUCAGUUAAGGGUCCAACUCUUGAUUUUGGCUCAGGUCAUGAUCUCAGGGUUGUGGAAUCGAGCCCAACAUUGGGCUCUGUGCUGGAUGUGGAGCCUGUUUAAGAUUCUCUCUCUCCAUCUCCCCUUGCCCCUCCCCCCCAAAAAGUGGGCAGAUGACUAGAAUAGACAUUUUUCCAAAUGAUACCUACAAAUGACCAAUGGGUACAUGAAAAGGUGUUCAACCUUGCUAAUCAUCAGGGAAAUGGGAAUCAAAACCAUAAUGAAAUAUUACCUCAAACCUGUUAGAAUGGCUUUUAUAAAAAAGACAAGAGACAAGUGUUGGUGAGGCUGUGAAGAAAAGGGAACAACUGUGAACUGUUGGUGGAAAUGUAAAUUGGUGCAGCCACCAUGGAAAACAGUAUGGAAAUUCCUCAAGAAAUUAAAAAUAGAGUUACCAUGAUCCAGCAAUCCUACUUCUGGGGAUAUGGCUGAAGGAAAUGAAAUCACUAUCUCAAAGAGAUAUCUGCACCCCAGUGUUCAUUGCAACAUUAUUUAAAAUAGCCAAAAUAUAGGAAGAACCUAAGUGUUUUUUGACAGAUGAAAAGAUAAAGAAUAUAUUGUGUGUACACACACACACACACACACACACAAUGGAGUAUUACUUAACAAUGUGAAAGAAGGAAAUCCUGCCAUUUGCAACAACAUGGAUAGACAGGGACAUUAUACUAAGUGAAAUAAGUUAGACAAAGUCAAAUACUGUAUGUUCUCACUUAUAUGUAGAAUUUAAAAAAGCCAAACUCAGAAACAGAGAGUAGAAAAUGGUGGUUUCCAGGGGCUGAAGGGUGGGGAAAAUGGGGAGAUGUUGGUCAAAGCAUAGAAACUUCUAAUUAUAAGAUGAAUAACUUCAGGGAUCAAAUAUACAGCCUAGUGACUAUAAUUAACAAUACUAUAUUUUAUACUUGAAAGUUUUUAAGAGAGUAGAUCCUAAAUACUAUCACCACACACAAAAAAUGGUAUUUAUGUGAGGGGAUGGGGAAGUUUAACCUUACUGUGGUAAUCAUUUUGCAAUAUACAUGUGUAUCAAAUCAUUACAUUGUACACCUUAACUUAUAUUGUAUGUCAAUAGUGUCUGUAGGUUGAAAGAGAAAGGGUUACAACUAAAAAAAAAGGAAAGUUAUGCACUCCAACUCCUCUAAAAAAUGCUGAGAUUAUUAGAUUAUAUAACCAACAGAGGUUUGCUAGGGUUUGUGAAGUCCAGGGCUGGAAGUCAAGAAGUGAAGUUUCAGGCUAUCCCUAAUUAGCAACCUGAAUUUCAACAGUCAUUAACUUUUCUGAGCCCAGUUUCCUCAUUGAUACAUAGACCUCAAGGUCCUCUCAGCUCUGUAUUGAAUGGAAUCACUUGGAUCUAGUGUCUUUGUUUCUUAGUGUUCCCAGCCUAAUCAAAAGUAAAAUUCACUGAGAACCUUGAUAGAACUAUACUUUUUUCAGUUGUUCCUUUAAACAUGCUGUUUCUGCCAUACCUGGAGAUGAAAGGCAGCUGACUUCUACCUGUUUUCUCAAGUCCCUCAAGUAGCUAAAUAGAAACUUGAGAAUCUAGUCAGUUUUACUUGCCUUUUCUUCACCUUGUUUUCUAGGCCAAUUAGGAAAGUUUUUAGAACUCUUUUCUUUCUGGCUGACAAAUAACUAUUUUUUAAGUCAUGUUUGGGCUUAUCAGAAUUACUAUAUGUUAGGGGCGCCUGGGUGGCUCAGUUGGUUAAGCAGCUGCCUUCAGCUCAGGUCUGAUCUCAUGGGUCCUGGGAUGGAGCCUGUGUCAGGCUCCCCACUCAGUGGGGAGUCUGCUUCUCCCUCUGCCUCCCCUCCCCCACCAUGUGCAAGGGCUCGAGUGCUCUCCUCUCUCUCUCAAAUAAAUGAAUAAGAUCUUAAAAAAAAAAAAAAAGAACUACUAUAUGUCAGUUACUGUUUUUGCCAGUCCUUACUUGAAAACAAUAGGUUGGUGUUAUGUAAAUGACCCAAAGAUGGCCUCUGUGUGUUGGCCCCUAGGUAUUUCCCCACUGCUGGCUGAGACGCAGUAGCUCAAAAUCCUACCGGUGCCAAACCCAAAGUUUUACACUUACCAGUUAUUUUAAAAAUAGGUCAAAGAAGCACAUUUUUGGCUAUUUAGAGACUGGUUGCUUUGCAUAUGCUGUGAAACCUCCCUCAACAGCUGUUAUCUAUUUAUAAGACAGGUCAUUGCAGUUCUAAGGCCCCAUGCUGCUAUGGCCCUUUGGAGUUGUACGACCCUGCCAUGCUGAGUAGUAUCACCUAGACACUAAGCCCCCCCCUCUUCUGACUAGCCUUUCCUUUGCCUGAACUCUAGCCUCUGUACAGUUACUUGCAGUGAGGGAUGAACCCUGUCAUGCAACCCUGUCCAAACACUGCCCAAUAAAGCUUGUUAUGUUUCCUGCCUCUUGUGAUCAUAUCCUUUUACUUGCUCAGCCCCCAAUACCCUGGCAAUUGGGUUUAUCAAUUGUUGCUCUGUGGGGAAAUGGCAGCCCUUUGGAUUGACUGACACCCCACUAGACUUUUAGGUUCCUACAUCAGUCUCAGCCUCCCCUGACAAACUUGUUUAAAGACAACACUGCAGGGAUGCUUAGGUGGCUCAGUUGGUUAGGCGUGGGACUCUUGAUUUCGGCUCAGUUCAUGAUCUCAGGUUGUGAGAUUGAGCUCUUUGUCGGGCUCCACACCAGGAGUGGAGCCUACUUAGGAUCUCUCUCUUCCUCUCUCUUUGCUCUCCAAUC